rnacentral:rRNA from 1 species
CAGCCGCCGCGGUAAUACCGGCGGCCCGAGUGGCGGUCACUAUUAUUGGGCUUAAAGCGUCCGUAGCCGGGUUGGGAAGUCCUCCGGGAAAUCUGGCCGCUUAACGGUCAGAAUGCCGGAGGAUACUCCCAGCCUAGGGAGCGGGAGAGGCCGAGGGGAUUCCCGGAGGAGGGGGGGAAUCCUAUAAUCCCGGGAGGACCACCUGUUGGGAAGGCGCUCGGCUGGAACGCGUCCGACGGUGAGGGACGAAGGCCAGGGGAGCAAACCGGAUUAGAUACCCGGGUAGUCCUGGCUGUAAACGAUGCGGACUUUGUGUCGGACAAGCUAUGAGCUUGUCCGGUGCCGGAGGGAAACCGUUAAGUCCGCCGCCUGGGGAGUACGGCCGCAAGGCUGAAACUUAAAGGAAUUGGCGGG